AGCAACCGCGCAUCAUUCUGUUCCGAAACCUGGAAAAGCUCAGACAAGCUCCCAUUUCUCUCGAAAUCCGGUUUUUCAUACGGCUUCAUCGUGUUUGUCUUUGGAAUGAGUGCCGCCGUUCAGGGCGUCCCCCGACCAGCACAGCCCAUGCUGGGAGGAGGACGAACUGCAGGCAUAUAUCCCAACAUGCGUCCUCCACACUUGAAGCACACUCAGUCGAAGACUCAAUUGGAGGAGAAAGCAAAACAGGAAGGCACGAAGAAAAAAUAGAUAUCAAUCCUUUGCAGUGUCAGACCCCAUUGGAAUCAUCCUCCGUCUGCCACCCAUUGCAUCGUUCCUUCAGCCGGAAAACUAAUCUGUCCAGCAACCAUUGCUUCUGAUCGCACUGUGUUCAAUAAACUUUAAGAAACGCUUCUUUGCUCAUUUUCGCUCAUAUUGAAACAAAUUUUUUUCUUAUCUUCAUAAGAACUGAUAUGAAACGUCCUUUGCUGAAAAUUCAAAUGACUUUCACAAAUUGUAUGAAUUUCGUGCUCAUUUUACAAAAGUUAAAAAUGUAUAAAAACAGAAGCAUGAUACUCAACAAAAAGUUUGAAAUUAACAUCUAAAGUUCCAUUCAUGUUCUGUUUUUUUAAUCUUGCUUGUUUCUUAAAGACCUAAAGUUGUUUUCUUUGUUUAUGUGUCUAUGUUGGCAGCCGAUUGAGUUAACAAUCUCCUUCAAAAAAUUACUUUUUAAAUUUUGCAAAAAUUUAAAAAAUUCUUUAAAGCAAGAUUUUUUUCAAACAUUUAAUGUUGUUUGAUAUUCAUGUGGGUUUUUUUUUUAUUUUCGAUUUUAUGACAGAAAUAUAAACGACGCCAGAAUCAAAGCAUUCGAGAUUAAAUUCCAUUUUAUGUUAAUGAAGGGGGAAAUAUCAUAUUAUUAGCAAUUAUUUGUGUACACAGUUCUUAUUAGAGCAGAAAAGCUCCAGUUUCUUAGAGUAGUUAAUUUAACAACAUCUAAAUUUAGAUAAAGCUUUCUAUAUUCUCGAAAAAUUAGAUGCAGAUCUAUUAUUGUUUGUCGUUGCAACAGCAGAUGAUUAAAAGUGUAAGGACUAAAACAUUUUCUAAGGAUUCAUGUUCUCUACUUCAUUCAAAUCAUAUUAUCAUUAGAUUCAAUAGAACUCAAAUGUGGACUAAGAAUAUAUUGAUUAGUGAAUGAUCAUGAUCAGGUUGUAGUCGUGUAUUUCCACUGACAUUUUAGUUUCUCUGUUUAAUUAUGAAUUAUAAAAAAAACUACAGAACAUUAAAUAAAAAGAAAAAAAUGUUGUUUCAUUAGUGUUGAUUUGUGUAUUUAGUCUUUAUUAGUGCAGAAAACUCCGGCUUCUUAGUAUAGUUAAUUUAAUAAUAUCUGAAUCUAGAUAAAGCUUUCUACAUUCUUGAAAAGUUAGAUAUAGAUAUCGUAUGUCGUUGUGACGGCAAAUGAUAAAAAAAAUGGCUUCAAUUAAGACACUUGUGUAUAUAAUUCCCAUCAGAGUAGAAAAAUCCAGCUCUUUAGUAUAGUUAAUUUAACAGCAUUUAAAUCUAGAUAAAGCUUUCUAUAUUCUUGAAAAGUUAGAUAUAGAAAUCGCAUGCCGUUGUGACGGCAAAUGAUAAAAAAAGGUGGGAAUUAUAACACUUGUGCAUAUAGUUACCAUUAAAGUAGAAAAAUCCAGCUCUUAAGUAUAGUUAAUUUAACAGCAUCUAAGUCUAGGUAAAGCUUUCUAUAUUCUUGAAAAAUUAAAUAUAGAUAUAUUAUCGUUUGUCGUUAUAACGGCAAAUAAUUAAAAGCGAGAGCCUUACAACAUUUUUCUAAAGUUCAUAUUCUCUAUAUCAUAUAAGUCAUAUUAUCAUUAGAAUCAAUAGAAUUUAAAUGGGAACUAAGAUUAGCGAAUGAUCAUGAUCAGGACACUUUAGUCUAUAGCCGUUUAUUUCUUUUAAAACGUUUUCAUUUUUUCGUUUCGUAAUAAUAGAGUUUUUUAAUUGGGAAAUAAAAAUUAAAAUGUAAUAAAUAAAUUGUAAAUAUGAUAAUUGCAACUUUUAAGAAGCGUUUUAAUAAAUAAACGUUUAAUCGACACUUUUUUGUGAACCUAGCUUUGUAUAAAACUUUCUCUCUCAUCUUUAUUGAAAUGUGUGUUCGAAAAUAUCCCUUUUGCUGGUGUUGAAUGUGUAAGCUUCAGAUGUGAAAAAUAAAUUCAUUAAAAUGAUGAAAUUCA